rnacentral:misc_RNA from 1 species
AAAUAGAACUAGGAAUCUCAAACCAUGUUUGAGGUUUUGUGUCCUGAUGAGCAAAAAUCAUAACUUUCACAAUUCUCUUAUUGUGACGGGUAUUGCUGUGCCAAUCUUCUUCUUGUUUCUUCUUCUAGUGAUCAGCUCUGCGAGACCAGUCAGUGGAUAAAAGAGCGAGAAAAACAGCACGCCAUUCAUUGACACAGACAUUUGUCUCAAAGAUAAUAUUCCCGUUCUCGUGGAGAGUUCAGACUUG